rnacentral:lncRNA from 1 species
GAGUCUGGCUUUUUCCACUUGGUGUGGUGGUUUGGGGAUUCAUUCAUUCCUAUUUCAGCAUUCCACUGUAUAGUCCAGAGGUGAGCAAGGCAAGGCUGGUGGGUGGCUCUGUUAUCCAUCUCCUGUGUCCAAGCGACUGCUCCAGUUGUCACCAUGUUUCCAGUCACCAGGUGAGAGAGACUCUGGCUGCAGAGACAGGGCUGAGUGUCCGUGUCGUCCAGGUGUGGUUCCAAAACCAGAGAGCGAAGAUGAAGAAGCUGGCCAGGCGACAGCAGCAGCAGCAGCAAGAUCAGCAGAACACCCAGAGGCUGAGCUCUGAUUGGUGUUCUCAUACAUGCUGACUUGACUUUUACAACACCCAUUCCUGGAGGCGAGUGGAGAAGUUGUUAUUAUCCCUAUGUCACAGAUGAGCAAACAAAGGCUCUGCAAGAUUGAAUGUGGCCCUAGAUCGCUCAGACAAACGGUGGUGGGAGUGCUGGGAUGGAAGGAAUCAUGAACCCCUACACGGCUCUGCCCACCCCACAGCAGCUCCUGGCCAUCGAGCAGAGUGUCUACAGCUCAGAUCCCUUCCGACAGGGUCUCACCCCACCCCAGAUGCCUGGAGACCACAUGCACCCUUAUGGUGCCGAGCCCCUUUUCCAUGACCUGGAUAGCGACGACACCUCCCUCAGUAACCUGGGUGAUUGUUUCCUAGCAACCUCAGAAGCUGGGCCUCUGCAGUCCAGAGUGGGAAACCCCAUUGACCAUCUGUACUCCAUGCAGAAUUCUUACUUCACAUCUUGAGUCUUCCCCUAGAGUUCUGUGACUAGGCUCCCAUAUGGAACAACCAUAUUCUUUGAGGGGUCACUGGCUUUAGGACAGGGAGGCCAGGGAAGAGGUGGGUUGGGGAGGGAGUUUUGUUGGGGAUGCUGUUGUAUAAUGAUAUGGUGUAGCUCAGCAUUUCCAAAGACUGAAUACAUUAUGGAUUGCAUAGUUUAAUGUUUCUAAUAAGAGUCUUAGCAUUAGAUAUGAAGACGUGUUUAUCAUUAAGGACAGAGACUUUUAAUAUAGACAUUCUCAUGCAAACUAGAUACUUAGGGACUCCUAACAACUUCCCACCAUGUCGGGGAAGCUCUUGUCAAGAGGUGCAUAUGUCUAUCCAUCUACACACCAAUAGACAGAAGGACAGAUAGAUAGAUGUGUGUGUGUGAGUGUGUAACCUUUCGUAUUUUACCCUCAAAGUUUAUUCCUAAUUAUAACAGACACCAACUGUACA